UCGGUGUAACAGAAGGAACUUUUCAAUUAUACUAUUUUGUUGAUUUUACAUUACUAUUAUCUUCAAACAUUUAACUCGAUGCCGCCAUUCUGUUAGUACGCUAAAUUUAGGAUCAACAAUCAAUCAAUAAAUAAAAUAUUUAUGUACUUAGCUGUGAGAUAACAUACAUGUUUAAUCUUUGAAGUAAAAUACAUUUUUUUAUAACGCAGCUUCCGACGACAACGCAGGUACCUGCUACGCAAUCCGUGAUAUAACUCGAUACUACUAUGUAGUAAAAGUUCUGAGUAACCCCCCAAGACAGUACUGAGCAGUUUCAGUAUAGUCAGUCAUAUAUCAAAAAGGGAGAAACCUACUUCAAUUCGUUUUUUAUGUAGACAUCGAGUGAUCGUCUGCUAAAGCUAAGUACAGAAUAAGCCCAAAUUAAACUACUCUACAAACGUUUGAUGAAAUCGAUGGUAGCGUCGUAAUCAUGGUUGACAAAAUUUCAGAGGGAAGUCGGCUUAAAAGUUGUACUAGUCAAUGCAUUUAAUAAUUCUUAGUACA